rnacentral:lncRNA from 1 species
UUAAGGUUGAGUACCACUAGCAAAGAAAAACUGGGAUUCUUCGCAGGUAUGAUCACAACAGCAUGUUUGCUACAAUUCACUCUUUUGUUUUCAACAAUGGAUACCAUCAUGUCACGAUUUCCAUUCAUAACUAAACAAAUUGGUAAACAAAUUGGUUGAAUUGAAUGCUAUCGAAACAUGGUGUCCAAUGUCCCAAUGCUGACACAUGGUGUCCAAUGUCCCAAUGCUGAAUUGCAAUAGUCAGUACCUCCUACAUGCGCGUGCAGGAGGUGUCGAAGUCGUCG